rnacentral:lncRNA from 1 species
UCACUAGAUAUCUUGGGAGAUGGUAGAUGGACCGGGUUCAUAGGGAAUCCUACCGUGAACGUUGUCUCAUACCGGACAGGGUAUGGAGACUUGGUCAUUUGGUGCUUAUACCAAACGGGGUAUGGGGACGACCCGUAUCACCCUCAUACCGGAUGGGGUACUGAGAUUUAAUGUCUUGACACUCAUACCGGACAGGGUAUGAGGACGAUUCUGUAAUUAAGAUUGUUAAGG